UAUGGAAGAUCCCUGGUGUGAUCAUUUGGAUCCAUUCCCAUAUUCUAUCACAUUCCCAUAUUUUAUCCCAUUUCCAUAUUUUAUUGAAAACAAAAUUUAUUAUAAAAACUUAAAAAAAAUCACCAUUCCAUCAAUAGACGUAGUGAAUAUAUACACUUCAAGAGCCACUGUUUGACAAUGCCAAGUUGACACUUCAAUUUUCAAAAUCAUUUACAUCUAGGAAUAAAUUGAUAUUAUGCAAAACAGUUUUUCAUAAAUCCAAAAUAUGCGCAAAGAUUUCCAUUUUGGCAUCAGUGGCAUAACAGUUUUUUGGGAUCUCCGCAAAAAUCCUAGACAGUCCCUUAGCUCUUUGUCAUUCUCACUAGCUCUCGUCUCAUGUUUACCUCAAACGUUACAUAUUAUAGUACAUUCACAGGACUAAAACUUACGUCAAAUAGUUUUAUGACUCAAAUUGGAAUCAGGCACAACAUGAUGAAUAAGAAACGGAGUAAAGUCCAUUCAAAGUUUUUACUUUAGUCAAGUAUUCGAUGAGAGUGAACACAAUUUAUCUACUUUGUAUUUUAUGAAUCUGUUCUCAAACAUCAAAUACAUAUUAUUUACAAUAUCAUAUUUUAUUAAAAUAAAAAACAGUCACUAUU